ACGGGGUGCAGCAGGCGCGAAACCUCCGCAAUGUGAGAAAUCGCGACGGGGGGAUCCCAAGUGCCAUUCUUAACGGGAUGGCUUUUCAUUAGUGUAAAGAGCUUUUGGAAUAAGGGCUGGGCAAGACCGGUGCCAGCCGCCGCGGUAACACCGGCAGCUCUAGUGGUAGCAGUUUUUAUUGGGCCUAAAGCGUCCGUAGCCGGUUUAAUAAGUCUCUGGUGAAAUCCUGUAGCUUAACUGUGGGAAUUGCUGGAGAUACUAUUAGACUUGAGACCGGGAGAGGUUAGAGGUACUCCCAGGG
rnacentral:rRNA from 1 species